rnacentral:rRNA from 1 species
AACAUUUGGAAACAGAUGCUAAUACCGCAUAAAUCCAGGAACCGCAUGGUUCUUGGCUGAAAGAUGGCGUAAGCUAUCGCUUUUGGAUGGACCCGCGGCGUAUUAGCUAGUUGGUGAGGUAACGGCUCACCAAGGCAAUGAUACGUAGCCGAACUGAGAGGUUGAUCGGCCACAUUGGGACUGAGACACGGCCCAAACUCCUACGGGAGGCAGCAGUAGGGAAUCUUCCACAAUGGACGCAAGUCUGAUGGAGCAACGCCGCGUGAGUGAAGAAGGCUUUCGGUCGUAAAACUCUGUUGUUGGUAGAAGAAUGGUCGGCAGAGUAACUGUUGUCGGCGUGACGGUAUCCAACCAGAAAGCCACGGCUAACUACGUGCCAGCAGCCGCGGUAAUACGUAGGUGGCAAGCGUUAUCCGGAUUUAUUGGGCGUAAAGCGAGCGCAGGCGGUUUUUUAAGUCUGAUGUGAAAGCCCUCGGCUUAACCGAGGAAGUGCAUCGGAAACUGGGAAACUUGAGUGCAGAAGAGGACAGUGGAACUCCAUGUGUAGCGGUGAAAUGCGUAGAUAUAUGGAAGAACACCAGUGGCGAAGGCGGCUGUCUGGUCUGUAACUGACGCUGAGGCUCGAAAGCAUGGGUAGCGAACAGGAUUAGAUACCCUGGUAGUCCAUGCCGUAAACGAUGAAUGCUAGGUGUUGGAGGGUUUCCGGCCCUUCAGUGCCGCAGCUAACGCAUUAAGCAUUCCGCCUGGGGAGUACGACCGCAAGGUUGAAACUCAAAGGAAUUGACGGGGGCCCGCACAAGCGGUGGAGCAUGUGGUUUAAUUCGAAGCAACGCGAAGAACCUUACCAGGUCUUGACAUCUUUUGAUCACCUGAGAGAUCAGGUUUCCCCUUCGGGGGCAAAAUGACAGGUGGUGCAUGGUUGUCGUCAGCUCGUGUCGUGAGAUGUGGGUUAAGUCCCGCAACGAGCGCAACCCUUAUGACUAGUUGCCAGCAUUUAGUUGGGCACUCUAGUAAGACUGCCGGUGACAAACCGGAGGAAGGUGGGGAUGACGUCAAAUCAUCAUGCCCCUUAUGACCUGGGCUACACACGUGCUACAAUGGAUGGUACAACGAGUUGCGAGACCGCGAGGUCAAGCUAAUCUCUUAAAGCCAUUCUCAGUUCGGACUGUAGGCUGCAACUCGCCUACACGAAGUCGGAAUCGCUAGUAAUCGCGGAUCAGCACGCCGCGGUGAAUACGUUCCCGGGCCUUGUACACACCGCCCGUCACACCAUGAGAGUUUGUAACACCCGAAGCCGGUGGCGUAACCCUUUUAGGGAGCGAGCCGUCUAAGGUGGGACAAAUGAUU